ACCUGGGAGCCUCAAGGCAGUCCUUGUGCCAUAUUUUCUUUUAUUCUGCAGGGACAGUGAGUCUAGUUGUAGGAUCUGUAGCACCACCCUCUUACCCCAGAGUCAUCAGGUAUGCAGUCCUGCAGAUUUCAGAAAGACUGUUUGCACUGGUAAUGAGCAGCCUGUUCUUACGUAUUUGCUUGAUUUGGAGACUAAAUCAAGAAUGCUGCCAUAAAGUUAAUGAACAGCAAGUGCCAGUCAACUACAGAUUUUUUCAAAGGAAAGCCUGCAAAGUGAAACAGAUGCCCUCAAACCGUCUGACUGCAGAUAGACUAAGGGGAUUUUAGACCAGGUGGCUACAGAUAGGUGUAGUAAGAAAGGCACUGGGCAUGCAAACCAACACAGCUGAAGACUGGAACCACCCACUGCAAUCCCUGACACAACAGUGGUCACCACAAGCUGGUCUUCUGUGCAAGAAGCUAACCAAUUAAAGAAGGAUUUACUGAAGAGAGGCAGGAAGAUUCCAACAAGGCAUUGGAGACUGUUGUGGCUUAAACCCAGUCGAUAACUAAGUACUACGCAGUCGCUUGCUCACCCCACUGGGCAGGAUGGGAUGGAGAACUGAAAGAAUGUAAAACCCACAGGUUGAGCAAAUUUCAUACUUACACGAUGCUCGCUUGUCCCAGUCUAUCAGAACACCUAGUGUUUUCCAAAUUCUGGUAGAAGUGAAAACAUGUUAAAUGUUGCUUUUAUUCUGCAGCUAAAGAGGAGAAAGAAACAAAUUUAAACAUGCCAUGUCCUCACAGAGGUGUGUAUUUUAUAUGCAUUCC